CCUUAGAGUACCCUGCAAAGACAAGUAUGUUAUAUGAACAGUGAAAUGUCCAAAACAUACCUUUCCUUAUACAGUCCCCUUGACUAAUCCCUACCACUCACCAUGUUAUUGUUGUUUCUGUCAAAAAAAAUAAUCUGUUCUUAUUUCAGAACAAGCAUCUACCAAUGAACCUCACAAUGUUAAUAGAACGCAGCACCAGAUAGAUCAUAGCAAAAAUCAAUUAAUUUAUCCUGAAAACGUACUUUUGCACAUUUUGAAUUCCACAGGAAGGUUUUUGAAAAAUGUUCAUCGUAACUUUACAAAGCACCAUUAGCUAUUUAUCCACUCUUCAAGGUUGUGAUAGAUUUUUCUUUGGGGCAGGGUUUUAUACUUUUUGCAGAUUUGGCAGAACCGCUCCCUCCAGUCUUUGUACACCUUGACUGUGAAUUGUUUUUUCCAUUCAAAGUAUUGCCUAUAAUGAGUCUCAUUGUUGGCCACUGCCCUGAGGUAUUCUGCCAGUUCUUUGGUGCUUGGGAAGUCCUCCACAUGAAUGAAUGACCC